rnacentral:rRNA from 1 species
AUGACCCAGGAAGAGCUAGUGGAGACCGCAUGGGGCUUGGCCAAUAGUUGCAUGCCAUUUCUUUGGGUGAUUAGGCCAAACUUGGUUCAAUGUUCAGGGAAGGUAGGCCUACCUGAAGGCUUUGAGGAGGUGACACGUGGUAGGGGAAUGGUGGUGAGUUGGGCCCCUCAACAAGAAGUUCUUGGGCACCAAGCAGUUGGUGGCUUUUGGACCCAUAACGGCUGGAACUCGACGUUGGAAAGCAUAUGUGAGGGUGUUCCGAUGAUAUGUAGACCCCAUUUUGCCGAUCAGAUGAUAAAUGCCAGGUAUGUCCAGGAGGUCUGGAAGGUAGGAUUUGAGUUAGAGGGAAAGUUGGAGAGGGGGAAGAUUGAGAGGAGUGUUAGAAAGUUGUUUUGCCACGAAGAAGGUGGAGAGAUGAGGUGGAGGGCGAAAGAUCUCGAGGACAAAGCAACCGAGUGUAUGAAGAAAGGAGGCUCUUCAGAAACUAGAAUCAAUUUGUUGGUGAAUUUUAUGAUGUCAUUACCUUGUUCCAUUUAG